GGCUAAAGCCUGACUCCUGGAGUCUACCUGCCUGGGCCCAGAUUGAGGUUUCAUCCUCUGCUAGAUGAGUCUCCUUAAGCUUUAGAGUCUGCCAGUCAGGCAUCAAUGUCAUCAGAUCAGUGCUUUCAAAACACCCAUGUGAAGACAUCAGAAGGCUGUCUCCAUCACCACAUCACAAUGCCUCCUGCUGUGAUCCCAUUGCUUAACUUCAAACAGAGGCACUCAGCUCACAGACAGCUACUUCCCCUUUACCCAGGAGGGCAGAUACCACACCAGUUCAUAAUUUUGUGCUGAGCGCUGAGUCUCAGGCAGUUUGAGGAAGAGACGGAGGUCAGUUACUUCACUGAAGUGAUGGCCCUCUGUGUCCUGGGCCAGCUGCUGAGUGACUUCCUGGUUUCCCCUCCACAAGGCACCUCUGUCCUUGGACUGCCCGAGUAGCUGCGUUGAAAGUUAUCCUUGAGUUUAUCUUGAGUUGAAAAUUACAUUAUCGCUUCCUGGUCUGGGCCAGUGCCCUGUAACACUUCUUCACUAUGGCUGAGACUUGGAAGCAGAUAAGAGAAGGAAAGAAUUCAUCAAAAGCUGGUCACUUUUUCUUUCUGCAAAAAGGGACUUUAGCCAAAGGUCAAUAAAAG